UGGGGAAUAUUGGGCAAUGGGGGAAACCCUGACCCAGCGACGCCGCGUGAGGGAAGACGGUCUUCGGAUUGUAAACCUCUUUCAGCAGGGAAGAUAGUGACGGUACCUGCAGAAGAAGCCACGGCUAACUACGUGCCAGCAGCCGCGGUAAUACGUAGGUGGCAAGCGUUAUCCGGAAUUAUUGGGUGUAAAGGGUGUGUAGGCGGGAUUGCAAGUCAGAGGUGAAAAUUAUGGGCUCAACCCAUAACCUGCCUUUGAAACUGCAGUUCUUGAGAGUGGGAGAGGUAAGUGGAAUUCCCGGUGUAGCGGUGGAAUGCGUAGAUAUCGGGAGGAACACCAGUGGCGAAGGCGACUUACUGGACCAUUACUGACGCUGAGACACGAAAGCGUGGGGAGCAAACAGG
rnacentral:rRNA from 1 species